CUUACUUUGUCGUUAUUGUCAAGAAUAACGAGAAUGCAUUUGGAGCUAAAGUCAUCAAAUGGUAAUAGUUCAAAGCCAUUUGGAUAAACCACAAGUGUCAUCAAAGGGUUCUCUUUCUGGAUAAUUGCUUCGGCUUGUCUUCCUUUUACUCCAACCGACUCAAGCUGAUCAUAUUUAUAAGGGUAAAAAAUAAAAAAAUCCCUUGUGGUAAAUCUAAUACACAGAAAAACCUCCCGUGGUUUCAAAACGUACAACAUGACACCUCAUGUUUUGAACUAAAUUAUAAAGGUAACGGAAUCCGUUAAAUUUAACGGAAAUGACUUAUUGGAACCUAAAAAAAAUUUUAUACCUAAUUUUUAUUAAAUAUACCUAUUCUACUCCUUAACCCUCAAUUCUCUUUAUCUAGAGAAGAAAACAAAUGAUUUUUUUGACCUGUCUUUUGCUUAAUUACAUCAAAGCAUUUUGGUCAUUUCGUCCAUUUCCGUUAAGUUUAACGGAUUCCGUUACUUUUACAAUUUAGUUCAAAAUAUGCAGUAUCGUGUGGUACGUUUUGAGACUACGGAGGGCUUUUCUGUAUAUUAAAUUUACCAAGGGGCUUUUUUAUUUUUACCCUAUUUAUAACAUACAUUAAGAUAUUUGUUUUGAAUUCCAAUACAGCAGAGAGAAGGAUAAUUUUAGUGAUAUAAAUUAGCUAGAUGAAUUAAAAUUAAAUUGAAAGAAUACAAUACCUUAAAUAAAGUGCCAUUUGCAUAAGAAAUGAUCUGUGUACAAUAGUUAGAACAAAAAGACUAGCAUAAUUGGGCUUAUAUUACUGGUACAUUUUAACUUGCAUGCGCCACAAACACUUGGGAUCUUUGCAGCCACCUUCAUAAAAAGGUGGAUAUGGAUGUUAUCAAGACAAUUUUUUUUUUAAUCUUCACAGAAUUUAGCGACUAUGAAUGUUGCGACAGCCAGAUUCUUGAUAUACAUGUAUAGUUGUAUUACGUGUUGUUUAACAUAUAUGAAUAUAUCUAUUGAGAAACUGAAAUGAGUAAGAUUUAAUUAAUGCUCUUAAAUAAUCAAGAUUUGUGAAAAAAGAAGAAGAUAAAUUUGUCUAGUGUGAGGUGAUACAUCUUUCGAUUAAGCGAUAAUUUCAGAAACUUCCCUUGAGGUUUCUGACAAUUUUACUCAGCUCCUCCCAAUUUUAGAAAAUUACACUGACCUCCCUUGCUUUUACUAUUUAAGUAACAUUAUAGACCCAUUAGGUUAGAAUCAUACUUAAGUAUCCUAAAAUACCCUUAUGCAAUAUCAUAACAUCAAAAGAAAGCGAAAAAAAGGUUUAGUGAUCAAUUUAACCAAAAAAAAAAGUA
rnacentral:lncRNA from 1 species